rnacentral:rRNA from 1 species
UACGUAGGGUGCGAGCGUUGUCCGGAAUUAUUGGGCGUAAAGGGCUCGUAGGCGGUCUGUUGCGUCGGGAGUGAAAACUCAGGGCUUAACCCUGAGCCUGCUUCCGAUACGGGCAGACUAGAGGUAUGCAGGGGAGAACGGAAUUCCUGGUGUAGCGGUGAAAUGCGCAGAUAUCAGGAGGAACACCAGUGGCGAAGGCGGUGCUCUGGGCCGGUACUGACGCUGAGGAGCGAAAGCGUGGGGAGCAAACAGG